CAACCCUGAUCCAGCAAUGCCGCGUGAGUGAUGAAGGCCCUAGGGUUGUAAAGCUCUUUCGGCGGGGACGAUGAUGACGGUACCCGCAGAAGAAGCCCCGGCUAACUUCGUGCCAGCAGCCGCGGUAAUACGAAGGGGGCAAGCGUUGUUCGGAUUUACUGGGCGUAAAGGGCGCGCAGGCGGUUUUUCAAGUCGGGUGUGAAAGCCCCGGGCUCAACCUGGGAACUGCACUCGAGACUGAAGAACUAGAGUUCGGGAGAGGAUGGCGGAAUUCCCAGUGUAGAGGUGAAAUUCGUAGAUAUUGGGAAGAACACCGGUGGCGAAGGCGGCCAUCUGGACCGAGACUGACGCUGAGGCGCGAAAGCGUGGGGAGCAAACAGGAUUAGAUACCCUGGUAGUCCACGCCGUAAACGAUGUGCGCUAGACGUCGGGGGGCCUAGCCCUCCGGUGUCGCAGCCAACGCGUAAGCGCACC
rnacentral:rRNA from 1 species